GCAGUCGUGGCCGAGUGGUUAAGGCGUUGGACUAGAAAUUCAUUGGGGUCUCCCCGCACAGGUUCAAAUCCUGUCGACUGCG
rnacentral:tRNA from 1 species